AGCAGCCGCGGUAAUUCCAGCUCCAAUAGCGUAUAUUAAAGUUGUUGCAGUUAAAAAGCUCGUAGUUGAAUUUCGGGGUUAGUAGGUUGGUCAUGCCUCUGGUAUGUACUGGUCUCACUGAUUCCUCCUUCCUGAUGAGCCGUAAUGCCAUUAAUUUGGUGUUGCGGGGAAUCUGGACUGUUACUUUGAAAAAAUUUAGAGUGUUUAAAGCAAGCUAACGCUUGAAUACAUUAGCAUGGAAUAAUGAAAUAGGACGUUCGAUCCUAUUUUGUUGGUUUCUAGGAUUGACGUAAUGAUUAAUAGGGAUAGUUGGGGGCAUUAGUAUUCAAUUGUCAGAGGUGAAAUUCUUGGAUUUAUUGAAGACUAACUACUGCGAAAGCAUUUGCCAAGGAUGUUUUCAUUAGUCAAGAACGAAAGUUAGGGGAUCGAAGACGAUCAGAUACCGUCGUAGUCUUAACCAUAAACUAUGCCGACUAGGGAUCGGAUGAUGUUAAUUUUUUAAUGACUCAUUCGGCGCCUU
rnacentral:misc_RNA from 1 species